rnacentral:rRNA from 1 species
GCAGGUUGAAGCGCGGGUAAGACCGCGUGGAGGACCGAACCCACCUGGGUUGAAAACCGGGGGGAUGACCUGGGGCUAGGGGUGAAAGGCCAAUCAAAUUCCGUGAUAGCUGGUUCUCUCCGAAAUGCAUUUAGGUGCAGCGUCGGUCGAUUGCGUCGCGGGGGUAGAGCUACCGGAUGCUUGCGGGCCCUUGUUGGGUACCAACAGCAGCCGAACUCCGAAUACCGUUGACGUGUAUUCCGGCAGUGAGUCGGCGGGGGAUAAGCUCCGUCGUCGAGAGGGAGACAGCCCAGACCGUCGUCUAAGGUCCCGAAGCGUGUGCUAAGUGGGAAAGGAUGUGGAGUCGCAUAGACAGCCAGGAGGUUGGCUCAGAAGCAGCCAUCCUUGAAAGAGUGCGUAACAGCUCACUGGUCUAGUGGUUCCGCGCCGACAAUGUAGCGGGGCUCAAGCACACCACCGAAGACGCGGCAGCAAUCUUCAUGGUUGCUGGGUAGGAGAGCGUCCUGCAUGGGGCGAAGCGGCCGGGUAACCGUGCCGUGGACCGUGUGGGAGUGAGAAUGCAGACAUGAGUAGCGAGAGACGGGUGAGGAUCCCGUCCGCUGGAUGACCAAGGGUUCCGGGGCCACGUUCGUCGUCCCCGGGUGAGUCGGGUCCUAAGGCGAGGCCGACAGGCGUAGUCGAAUGGAUGAACGGGUGGAUAUUCCCGUACCGACCAUGGACCGGCAAAACCGAGACGGUGAGUACUAACCUCCGCCUCGUGGUGGUUCCUUCCUUCGGGUUGGUUCCGCCGCGUGGUGUUGGGAGCGUAGCCGCAGUAGGUCAGCGCAGGGGUGACACGGAAUGGGAGCCGGCCGCGGAGGUGGUUUUCCGUGGUCAAGCACGCAGCCAGUCAUGUAGGCAAAUCCGCAUGGCGCGCAUGGCGAGGUGUGAUGAUGGGAGCCGUUAUGGUUCGAUAUCCGGUUGUCCAGGCCGUCGAGAAAAGCCUCGGCGUGAGGGCCAUGGCCGCCCGUACCCCAAACCGACACUGGUGGUCAGGUAGAGAAUACCAAGGCGAUCGAGCGAAUCCUGGUCAAGGAACUCGGCAAAUCACUCCCGUGCCUUCGGUAUAAGGGAGACCCACUGGGGUGAAGGACCUUGCGUCCGGAGCUUUGGUGGGUGGCACAGACCAGGGGGUAGCGACUGUUUACCAAAAACACAGGUGCAUGCGAAGGCGAAAGCCGCUGUAUAUGCACUGACGCCUGCCCGGUGCCGGAAGGUUAAGAGGAUCCGUCAAUCCUUCGGGAUGAAGCGGUGAAUUCAAGCCCCGGUAAACGGCGGUGGUAACUAUAACCAUCCUAAGGUAGCGAAAUUCCUUGUCGGGUAAGUUCCGACCUGCACGAAUGGCGUAACGA